rnacentral:rRNA from 1 species
GUACACUCCUGCGGGAGGCAGCAGUGGGGAAUUUUGGACAAUGGGCGAAAGCCUGAUCCAGCAAUGCCGCGUGCAGGAUGAAGGCCUUCGGGUUGUAAACUGCUUUUGUACGGAACGAAAAAGCUCCUUCUAAUACAGGGGGCCCAUGACGGUACCGUAAGAAUAAGCACCGGCUAACUACGUGCCAGCAGCCGCGGUAAUACGUAGGGUGCGAGCGUUAAUCGGAAUUACUGGGCGUAAAGCGUGCGCAGGCGGUUAUGUAAGACAGAUGUGAAAUCCCCGGGCUCAACCUGGGAACUGCAUUGGUGACUGCAUGGCUAGAGUACGGUAGAGGGGGAUGGAAUUCCGCGUGUAGCAGUGAAAUGCGUAGAUAUGCGGAGGAACACCGAUGGCGAAGGCAAUCCCCUGGACCUGUACUGACGCUCAUGCACGAAAGCGUGGGGAGCAAACAGGAUUAGAAACCCUGGUAGUCCCAUGA